rnacentral:tRNA from 2 species
GUGAGCUGCGCUCGGAGAAGCCCUGACAAAGCAACGAAGGACCCGGGUUCGAUUCCCGGCACCUCCACCA